CCUUCUUGGGCCAGAUGGCCACUCAGACCUGAAGGUCAGGCUCUGAUCUCAGUGCCACCAAGGCUGGAUCCACCGUGGUGUCACGUCACCCUUUGUCUUGCUCGAGUCCCUCAGCUGAUGCAGGCACUGGAUGCUUCCUGCCAGUGUGCACCCAGGACCCUUGAGGACUGUGGAGGAGCUGGCUGUUCCCCUCUAGGGCAGCCACAGUCACUCCCACCAAGGAAGACAUCAGCGUGGAAAAUACAGGGAUGUUGAACUCCUUAAGGAGUGGGCAUUCAUCUGCCAACUCCCCACCACCAUGCGAACUGACCGCAGAGGAGGAAUUCAAGGAAGGAAAGGUUCGUGGCCAGGAAGCACUGAUGUGCUGGUGAGAAGACAGUCAUGCCAGUCUCAGCAGACAGCUCCAUGCAAGUAUGGGGUGAACAUGAAGCAAAUCCAUGAACGAAGCUUCCCCGAGUGGUGCUGGUAGUUCAGUGACUGCAGCUUGGAGCCACCGUGCUGCUGAUAGCUUGGUGACAGUUUCACAGGCUGUCAGUGACCGUUGUGCCUGAGCGGGCCAGCUGAAGGGUAGAAAUCUUGACAGUACAUCACAACCCUAGUAGAUCUCGACAUGUGAACAGAAUAAAUGCAGAAAUCCACUGAAAGCAGAGAGGGGGCUGAUGCUGGCUUUGACAGGCAGCAGGCUGUGCCUCUGCAGCUUCUGGUCGUUCCUGGUCACCCCAUCCUGCAGCCACAGAGAUCUGGAGUGUUUUACCCAGGUGACAGAGGCCACCAGCAAGAAACAAAUAAGAGAGCUGACAAAGUACUCCUGAAUGCCACUGUCCAGCCAGUUCCAAAAGUGAAGCAUUGUCCUUGGCAUUACACGUUUCGUUUCUAGGUACAUCUACAUGAGCAUUUCAGCUGGGGUCAUGAGUGCUUUUAUGAAGCAUGCAGUUCCAGCACGUGUCACUGCAUGGCCUCAGAUCUGGAUUUGGGGCAAGGUGGAUUGGAAGAUGCCCUGUUUUACCCACCCCAGCACGGUGAGCCCAAGUGAUGGGAAGAGAGUUUGAAUGGGAGCCACUGUCUGGAGCACUGCUGUGGUAUCAACCCAUGGCUCCUGCAGCCAGCAGAAGCCAUUACUCCUGCCUCUGCAUACUGCAGAUUGCUGAAUUUCAUUCACUAAGACCUGCAUGGAGCCUGAUAACUUUUGUUUAACUACAUAAAUCCAUAAAAGUGUUUAUUCUUGACUUGAAGACACAAAUAACCUAUUGCUUUCCUGGGCCAUUUCUCCUAGUGUUUGACUAGCUUGGUAUUGAAAAAGAAAUCUGCAUAUUAUUCUUAAAUUGAAUUUUCUUUCAGGAAUAGCUUCACUGGAAGUCAUUAUGCUCCUUCUUGUGAACCAAUUUUUUUUUUUAUUUUUUUUUUAGUGAACCAAGCCCUCUCUGCUUGUGGGUCUUAAUAUACCUUUGCAGUUGAGUAAGUGGUUUGACCUGUCAGCUUCAGCCUGCCGGAUCAUUUCUUGGUCCCCAAAAUUAUGGAUCCUCUUUGCUUGGUGUGU